rnacentral:tRNA from 1 species
AAGAUGCUAGUAAUAAAAAUUACAUUGUCUUGUCAAGACAGAAUUGUAGGUUAGAUCCCUGCGUAUCUUA